rnacentral:rRNA from 1 species
UGUAAAGUUCAAGCUCCGAUUAUGAGGGCGAACCGCGAAUGGCUCAUUAAAUCAGUCAUAAUCUACUUGAUUGUUUAAAGUUUAUAUGGAUAACUGUGGUAAUUCUAGAGCUAAUACAUGCACAAAUGGGGCGACUCUUGCAAGAGAGAAGCUCUGCGUUUAUUAGACUAAGACCAAUGAUCCAGCAAUGGAUCCAUUUUUAAGGUGACUCUGAGUAAAUAAUGGGUGAAAGCCCAUGUUGCUGACCUGACAUACCAAAAAGCUCGCAAGGGCUUGUCAGGCAAAUCAAUCGUGUGUCUGCUCUAUCAACUGUGGAUGGUAGGAUAAUUGCCUACCAUGGUGAUGACGGGUAACGGGGAGUUAGGGCUCGACUCCGGAGAACAAGCUGAGAAACGGCUAGUAGGACUAAGGUCUGCAGCAGGCGCGAAACUUACACAAUGCUAGAUUACAAUUAGCGAUGUAGUGAAGAAAAAUAACGAUGUACUUCCUUCUAAACAAGGCAGUACAAUUGGAAUGAGACGACUAUAAACCAGUUAGUCGAGUAACAAAUGGAGGGCAAGUCUGGUGCCAGCAGCCGCGGUAAUUCCAGCUCCAUUAGCAUACAUUAAAGUUGUUGCGGUUAAAAAGCUCGUAGUUGAAUUUUAGGCGGGCUCUAUUGGGAUGCAAUCGUUAAGACCUACUUGGUUUCGGCUAAGUUAGGUUGGUUGUCAUCGCCCUAUAGGAACCCGCUGUUUCGUCACUUAAUCGAGUGCGAAGCGGGCUGGUACAAGGAUUCAAUAUUCGCUAUUGUCCUGUUUCAGCAUGUUUACCUUGAGAAAAUUAGAGUGCUCACAGCAGGCAGUUGGGGUGUAAAAGCUCCUUUAUGCUUGAAUAAUGUUGCAUGGAAUAAUAGAAUACGGCCUCGGUUCUAUUCUGUUGGUCUUAUAGAACAACAAACAAGUUGGUUAAAGCGAUCAAAAGUUCAUUUGCGGAUGUGGUUCACUGGUUGCUUUUUAGUUGCUGGCUUUAACUACUGUCUAGUUGUGUUACCUAGGGCCUUAAAAUCUUAGCGUCUCACUAGCUUUUUGUUGGCCUUCUUUACUACCUAGUUUUGCCUUUGUUCCAUUUAAAGCAUCCCUUAUUGGGCUAGCUUUCUAAUCAACUGAGGCAAUGGUUAAAAGAAAUAGUCGCGGCGGCAUCAGUACUGCAUCGUGAGAGGUGAAAUUCUUAGACCGAUGCAAGACUAACUGAAGCGAAAGCGUUUGCCGAGGAUAUUUUCAUUAAUCAAGAACGAAAGUUAGAGGUUCGAAGGCGAUCAGAUACCGCCCUAGUUCUAACCAUAAACGUUGCCAACUAGCAAUUGGGUUGCGAUUCCUUUAAUCGAAGCUUAAAACACUUCGAUCAUUAUGAUCCACCCAGCGGCUCUCGUAGGGAAACCAAAGUGUUUGGGUUCCGGGGGAAGUAUGAUUGCAAAGUUGAAACUUAAAGGAAUUGACGGAAGGGCACCACCAGGAGUGGAGCCUGCGGCUUAAUUUGACUCAACACGGGGAAACUUACUAGAUUAGAACUCUGGAAUGAUUGACAGAUUGAUAGCUCUUUCUUGAUUCAGAGGAUGGUGGUGCAUGGCCGUUCUUGAUUCGUAUUCCGAAACGUCUGCUUAAUUGCGAUAACGAGUGAGACCUCACCCAACUAACUAGUCGUUUGGUGCGCUGUGGAACGCAAAAGUCUUGAUAGGAUCUCUAGUUAGGGGUACUUGUAUCACUAUCUAGUGCCUGUUUUAGAUGUUCUCUGCUCGCCAGCGGACUUCUUAGAGGGAUAAACGGUGUUUUAGCCGUAAGAAACGAG